UCCUUGAGCAAACAGGCGAUCUUCUGAGGGAAAUACGGAAUGGGAGAAAAUGUGUAAGAGGCAGGCAGUGGGACCAGCUGAAUCCGGCUCUUGGCAUUUGAGUUACCUGGGUUUCCUGUGAAGCGUAAGUCACCACAAUCACGGUAAAUUUUAGUUUGCCAACUUAGUUUAGGAUUUCAGUUUGUUAACACUCUGCUCCGUUUAGCUUCCGUCAUUCUUCCCGAGGCUUUCAUUUGCAGUGGAAAGUAUGCGGGUCAUCUUUGAUCCCAACGCGGAAGGGUUGCCUGCUGCUUUCUUUCACCUCAGCUGUUACUUAGGUUUGUCCAGCGAAGUGGAUUUGAGGGUGCCGAAGUGACCGGGCUGGGCCAGUUCGGGUUGCUAUUGGAGCUGGCUUGGGAAAUGGCUGCUCUUUUGUUGUGUUUUUGUUCCAACAUGUCUUCCUCCUCCGCUUAGAAAAUGGCGGAACGACGUGACUCAACCACAUAUUCCUGCCCUUUUCACUGCUUGGGUUCAUAUGUUAUGCUUUCUGGAUUCCCUCUUUGGCAGCUCCAAGUUGAGUAAACCUUUGAAAAGCCAAGAAUAAAGCCGCAGGCAGUGGUGAGGUUCAAGGAAAGAGAUGGCAUAGUGACAGCCUGUUUGUGAUCUCUGCAGUAGAUGAGAUGUGAAAUUAAGUUUACUAUGCAAAAUCCCUCAUAGUCCUUUCCAGAAGUGUUAAAUUAACUCUGUAAAAAAUGGUAAUGUUUGUUGCAUUUCAGUCUGUGUACGAAAUUUUGUUUGAAAUGACAAAGGCAGUUUGAGCAACACUAUGUUGAAAUUGACUCAGUUGUAUUAAAAGGAAGCUUAAUCAUGUAACCACAGUUUGACAAGUAACUUUAACCUGUUGAGUUACUUGGUCAAUAACUCCUCACAUCUGGGAAAUUGUGGCUUUUUUUUUGAAGGUGGGAUAUUGGCGAAGGCAAAUAGUAACCAGGAUAGAUGAUGACCAGAUGAAGACAUUGGGUCCUUUUAAAUUAAUAAAGGAUUUUAGAGUAGUUCGACUUUUAAGAUUAAAGAAUAUCUUCUUAGGAUAGAGACUAAAACACAGUUUAAGAUCCAGCCCUUUUCCAACAAUUAUUUGAUAAUAUUUGCAAAAAGAUCCAGAUAUAGUGGAGAAUUAACUGGAAUGGUAUUUACCAUAGCCUCUUUUACUAUCCUAGCUUUUAUUCCUCAAAUCUUGAGUUAACUGGGUUAUAUACAUUAAUUCUGAUGUGAAAACAACCAGAGAGACAUUAUCCUUAAAAAAAUAUUGAAUGGUCAUAAACAUUUUUAAUGGAGAAAUUGAAUGAUACAAUUUCCUAUUGGUUGGAAGUCAGAAUAAAUUGUUAGGAAGAAAAUACCAGGUUUAUCUUACGAGAUAAAGAUUAAUGUGAAAUCUGAGAUGAUCAGAUUUGAGGUUUUUAAUGGUUCUCCAUUAAAAAAAAACCCUGCUGUGGAAAAAUGAAAAACCUUGAUUAAAAUGCUAUCUUUUUUCGUCACAGAAUAAAAAAAAUUGUGUUAGCCUUAGAAUUUUAAAUUUCUCUCCUUUUGCUUAUAUUUUCAUUUCUCCGCCCUGGCUCUUGCUGAUUUACUUCCCAUUACUAGUUUUUCUUAGAAUUAAAUGGAAAUGCAAUCAUGCAGUAUGAGGUCAUUUGUGUCUGGCUUCUCUAACCUAAUGCAUUUGAGGUUGGGAGGUUUUAUAAAUUUCACAAGUCAGGUUGAAUUUAAUGUAAAAUCAUUUUCACAAAAGCAGUAAGUAUCUGGUAUUUUCAGUGCUAGCUCCAAAUUAAGUACUCACAGUUUUAUUUGGUAGCUUUUAUUUAAGAACAGCACUUAGGAAGACCAAUGAGGGCAGUAGUUAAUAUGCUGAUUACCCACAUAAAUAAAUGAAAUUGACCUGUGAGCAAAAUUCUGAGAAGUUGAGAGCAGAGGGAGUUGUGGAGUUACAAACUGGGUGGAGCUAAGAGAUUAACCUGACUUUCAAGCUAAGACUUCUUGGGAGAGGAGAUGGGAUUUCAGGAUCUGAGUGACUCUAAGGAAGAAAGCUUGGUAAACUUGUCAGGGAGGCUGUCCAAGAGUGAAGUCUGGCUACUGGGAGUAGUUUCUAAAGCAGAAUGUAGUUACUGAAUGAGGGUGAGGAAAGAGUGAACUUGUUUUAGGAGUGGUAUAGUCCAGGUACAUAGAAACAAAAAGUGGAUCAUUGGUUUUAAAGUAUGAGAGAGAACUGUUUGUCCACUGAAGUGGGAAGGAUAAGAAAGACUUAUGCAUAAGGUUUCUUUUGGGUGGCAGCAGCAUCUGCUCUGCUUAGUUUGUUCCCCACUAUUUCCACAUUAACUGUAUGGGUGGGUGUGUGUGUUUAGUUGCUCGGUCAUGUCCGACUCUGUCGGCCCCAUGGACUCCUCUGUCCAUGGAAUUGUCUAGAGAAGAACACUGGAGCGAGUUGCCAUUUCCUGCUCUAGGGGAUCUUCCUGACUCAGGGAUUGAACCCUCUCUCUUGCAUCUCCUGCGUUGGCAGGCGGAUUCUUUACCACUACCUGGGAAGCCCAGUAAAUACACUCAAUAAAUGGGAAAUACUAAAUUAAAUUGUUUGCUUAGCUAAAUUAAAUAAGGCAGUCUGUUCCCCAUUAGAAAUUUGGCACCAAGAUUUUUAGACUUCACUAAUAUCUUCCUCCUCCCCUGAUUAACCCUCACCCUGAAAAUUGUCUUAAGAUUCUAUGGGAUAUUCUAAAACAAAGGCUGAAAAUUACCAGGCCUAUAUGUUAUAAACUAUCCUGCUGUAUCAAGUCCUUAGUUUGUAAGGACCUUAUUAAGGGAUCUGUUGUGCAGAAACACAGCAUCCGGUGAGUAUAAAGAGCAAGAGGGGGAGGAUGGUAUUCAGUCUCUAGGUAUUUUUAAGAAACUAAAAGCCUUUGGGUCUUGUGAAUUGACCUCUGGGAGUUCAAGUUACUGUGUUUCUGUUACAACCCUCCUUUUUUUGUGCUACUUUGAACUGAAUUCAAUUGUUCUCUAAAUCUGCCAUGUGGUAUUGACUGAGUGAUUUGGGGUCAGUCAGUCCCUUAAUCUUUCUGGGCAUGUCAGUUUCCUCUUUUUUGAAAUAAGAGGAUUUUACCAAGUUGAUAAUUUUCUAAUUUUGUUGGGGUAGAAGUGUCCUGGACAGAAAAGUUAAGAAUUUCCUACUCGUCUGUUGGAAAAAGUUUUGCACACUGAGCUUUUUGGUAGGGUUUGUUUUGUCUUUAGCAUUUAUUUUAUUUUUUUGACUGUGCUGGGUCUUCAUUAAUUGCUGUACGUAGGCCUUCAGUUGGAGUGAGCAGGGGCUACUCUAGUUGCAUUGCACAGGCGUCUCACUUCAACGUCUUUUAUUGCGGCGCACUGGGCUCGAAGCACGUAGGCUUCAGCAUUUGCCACAUGCAGGCUUAGUUGCUUCAAGACAUGUGGGAUCUUCCCGGACCAGGGAUGGAACUUGUGUCCCCUGUACUGGCAGGAGGAUUCUGUACCACUGAGCUACCACCAGGAAAACCCAGUUUUCACCUUUAUGUCAAGAUCAAAUUAUGUCUGCUUACAUACCCCACACCUUUUCACUUGGUGCUGCAGACCCAUAUUAUGCCUCCUUCCUUUGGUCUCAUACAGAAAAACUGAUAAAUGUAAAGAAUCUCCCUUCCAAUGCAGAAGAUAUAGGAGACUUGGGUUUGAUCCCUGGGUCAGGAAGGUCCCCUGGAGAAGGAAAUGCAGCCCACUCCAGUAUUCUUGCCUGAAGAAUUCCAUGGACAGAGGAGUCUGGCGGGCUGCAAUCCAUAGGGUCACAAAGAGCGAGACCUGACUGAGCAUCUGAGCACAUAUAUCUACUUACUGGAAACCUAGUGUUUUCAUUUUUUGAGCCUUCAUAAUAUUAAUAUUUUGUAUCCUUCUUAAGGAAGGGAGUGUUGUUGGCUUUUUCUCUGAAAAUUAAAGUUCUUUUCUUGGAGAGUGUCAGUGAACUUUACGGUACCUUCUAGAGAAUAAGCAAACAUUUCUUUUCUUUUAUUCAACAAAUACAUGUAUAUGUGAGUACUUAACUGUUGUGCAGUUUCAGAUAAUGGGCACAUUUCAACGAACAGAUAAUUUUUGUGAGGCCUACAUUCUUUUUGAAUAUAUACCAUGUGCAUGACAUGUAGUUGUGACUUUGUCCCUUGCUGAAAGUUAGUUGCAGAGAUAUCUAGAUUUCAUACUGUGAGGACAUAACCUUUCCUUAACAUCAGACAGCAUGCUGAGCUAUCCAGAGAUUAUCUUGAUUGGAGAGGUCAGCAGAGACCCCAUUAUGUCUCCUUGUGAAUCCUGCUUAGUCAACAUUUCUCAAACAUCAGCCGUGCAUAGUAAUUACAUUCAGAGCUUGUUUAAAAUGUAAGGUUUUCUGCCUCACCCCUAGAUUUGUUUGACCAGUACUGGACUGGGCCUUGUGAGUGUAUUUUCAUCAAGUAUAUUCCUGCUAAAGAAUAUGAGAUAAUUCCUGCUAAAGACCAGAGAACCACACUUUGAGAAAUACUGUGCUGAGGUUUUAACACUUCAUUGUUUUGAGCUGUUGGGGGUAGUUAAUGAUUAUUUUGCUGAGAGGACUCUGACUGUUGUAGGAGAUGCUAUUGUCUUGUUAUUUCAUAACUGUUGGGCAACUGCUUUUUGUUAUGAAAGUACUCCUUAUAUUUGUGUAGUGCUUUUAUAAUCUCAUAAUUACUAGGAGACCUCUUGAUAGAUAAGUAUAUUAAGAAUGUUUACCAGUGAGCAAAAAUGGCUUAGACAGGCAAGAAAAUGACAAAGGAAGAACUGGAACUUGUGUUUUUGACCAUCGAUGGAUUCAUUAUUCUUUUCAUUUUAUUGCAUGUACUGAGAGUUUAGCUAGCUUUCCAUUCUCAAGUCCAACUGCUGGUUUACUGAGCCACUUUUUAUUUGUUUAGUCACCGGAGGGCAUUUUUAUAAGUACACGUUGCAUAGUUCUAUAUUAUUAGUUUAGAUUUACAUAGAAUUUAAUUUAUGAAAAGAUAUUCAUGUGUUUAUACGUUACUUUUUUCUUUCAUCUUAGAUCAUUCUAGUAGCUUGUGUUGCCUCUUCCAUUUUCCCCUUUCCUAUACUUGUGUUAACAUUUCAAGCCCAGACUUUGUGUUCUCUUCUAUUACUUCCCCUCCUAAAAGAUUAUAUCAAACUUUGGAAUCGUUUGUUUUUUGUGUGUGUUCAUUUGCUAAUGUAGAGAAAUUUGAGUUGUUUUCAAAAUCUAUAAUCUGGAUUUACUAAGCAAAUCAAUGUAGUGUGUGUGUGGCGGGGCAGUGUUUCAUCCAGCCAAAAUUAUUUGUUCUCCUAGAUCUUUAUAUGUAAAACUGUCUUAAUACAAAUGAUUCCUAUAUUGCUAAAAGUACCUUAAAGAAAAUGGUACACUAUUUGGUCUCUAAAUAGUGUACUGAGAGAUACUUUGAUUUCCGGACUUACUUGCUUUAAGACUUUAAUGUGUGUUUUCUCAGACUUUCUCUUAAGGAGUGGAGGUAAGUCAUUUUAGCCUUGAGAAUUUGAAAUUUAAUUUAGGAAGAAGGAAAAGGGAACCCGAUUUUGUUUUUUGUUUUUAUUUGGCUGCACCAUGCAUAAUUCCUGACCAGGGAUCCAACCCAUGCACCCUGCAUUGGAAGUGCAGAGUCCUAACCACUGGACUUUCAGGGAAAUCUCUCUGGGGCCUAAUUUUGAUAUUUUGAAAGUAGCAUUGAUGGUUAUAUCUUUGGACAUGUUGAGUUUAAGGUGAUAGGAUAUCUCAGGCUUAGCUUUUGUAUAAUUAAGUUAGCAGAGAUACAGACAGACCUAAACCUCAGCCAGGGAAUUAGGACUGGUGUUUAUUUAGAUCUGAGCAAGAUCAGUGUAGAAGUGAUAGUAGCGAAAGGAAAUUGAGAGGUAAGGACUGAAUUCUUGGGUGGAAAUGCAAAGGUAAUCAAGGCAAGAGGAGAGUUGCGAUAAUGGGAUGUUGCAGUCAAUGGAAGCCAGUUUUAAGGGACAGGCAGAGGCCAGAUUUUUGGAGUUUCUUAUUGUAUAUGAAACUUUGCCUUUUUGGUGUAUGUAACGGGAGAGGGACGUUGUUUUCACAGCAGAGAAAUGGCACCACGAAACUGUCGAGGAAUGACUAAAACUAGGGGACUGUAGAAAGGCAUCUUUCAAUUUAGCUCAGAUGCCAACUUUUCUAAUAAGCCUUCCCUUUUAUCUACUCUGAAUAAAUUACUUAACUCCUAUAUUUCAUAUUUACUUUAUUGUUGCUAUAUUGUACUUGUCACCAGUUCUUCUAGACCUUAAGAUGCUUUUGGCAUCCUUUUUGACAGUUCAUGCACAUAGCAGCUGCUUAAUAAGUGUUGAGUGAGACUUGAAGAGCAGAUUUUAGUAAAGGAUUUUUAACAGUUUUGAUGAGACUAUGUAUGUAAGCAUCAUCAACUUAAAGUGUGCAAUUCAUUGGUUUUUACUAUAUGUACAGAGUUGUGCUGCCAUCCAUCACCAUAAUCCAAUUAAACAAUACUUUAAUCCCCUCCUGUCCCCAAAAAACCUUGAACAUAUUAGUGAUUACUCUCCAUAUCCUACUAGGCCUUAGAUAGCCACUUGUCUGCUUUCUAUAUGUUUGCUUAUUUAAAAAGAUUGGUAUUGUGAAAACUACAGAUGUACUGUCCCACUUCCCAGUGGAAAAGUAUAUUUUAAUACUUGUAUUCCCCUGGAGGUUCCAGUUCUUCACAUAUUGUCUUCCAGUACUACUGUAUCCAAGGCUAGAGAAAGCAAUGACAGCAAGAACCAUUUGUGAUCUUUGAAAUAUAAUAUUGGGCAGUAUGAUGAGGUGAGAAUGAUAACCGUUAUACUGGGAACCAAGAAAAAAAGUAAGAUGGCAGAUAAAAACUAGAUUUUUAACAAGUUACCUGUGAACAAGAUAAUAGGGUGAUCUUGUCUUUUACUAUGUACCAACAGUGCUGGCUGUUUUCAGUUCCUUGUGAAUAGCAAAGCUUAGUGUGUACUCCUAACCCCUACCCACCUCUUUACCUGGCCAUCUUCUGUUUGUGCUUCAAGAAUCAACUUUACUUGUUCAUCGAGAAGUUUUCCUCAGUGCUUCCCUCUAAAAAAUUGAUUGGGUCCCCAUAAUUUGUACCUUUCACCAUCAGUUUCUCUUUCAUCAUUUGCCUACACAGACUGAUAUAAACUAUGAGAGCAAAAAUUACUUGGUUUUGUCUUGUUAGCUACCAUAAAUGUUGAAAAGGUAGAGGAACAGCAUUUAGUAGUAGGUAGUACCAAGUAUCAAGGCACAAUUUUUUGUUUGUGUUUUUAAAAAUUUGGAGGUUAAAGAACGUCUAUGAAUGUUUUAAAGCAGAGGGCAAGGAACAGGAAGACAAAUAUGGAAAUCUUACAGCAUAAAUCAAAGAUCUUAGGGGUCAUAUUGUCAGCAGAGGGUUAGUAGUAGUAGGUAGGAGGGUUAGGAUGAAGAAGGAAAAUGAAUCAUCUUAGUUAACAUUAUUAUUGGCUGAGUGAAACGCGCUGCACAAGUUUUAGAUCUUAAUCUACAGUCUGUUUACCUUAAAAACAGACUGUUUUUAGAGGGGCUUCCCUAGUGGCUCAGUGGUAAAGAAUCUGCCUGCCAACACAGGAGACAUGGGUUCAAUCCCUGGUCUGGGAAGAUCCCACAUGCCGCAGAGCAACUAAGCCCCAGCACCACAAUUACUGAACCUGUGCCCUAGAGCCUAGUAGCUGCAACUACUGAAGCCUGCGUAUCCUAGAGCCCAUGCUCUGCAACAAGAGAGUAGCCCCCGUUCACAACUAGAGAAAAGCCUGCACACAGUAACAAAGACCCAACACAACCAGAAAUUUAAAAAAAAAAAAAAAAAAAAAAAUCUGUUUAGAGCAGGGUUCUUAACUUGAUUCAGGGAUAUCCCUUCUUCUUUUCAAGAGGUCAUUGAGUUGGAUGAAAAACAUUCCAAAGUUUAUUUUCAAGUGCCUCACUAGUUUUGACAGUACCUGUGGCUUUGUCACCAAUAGAGAUCACAGAUAUUUUUGUAUCACAUUGUUGCAUGUAUCUCAAAAUAGUCUUUAUUCCAAUCAUACUUCAAAAUUAUAGUACUAAUUAGACCCGCCCCUAAAUUUUAUUAUGUAGUGCUUUAAUAAAGAGCAUGUAUUUUACUAUAUCAAGAUUGAUUUUAAAGUAAUUUUAUGAUAACUGAAUUGCUCUAAAAUUCCUUUCCUUUAUAAUGCUACAUAUUAUGCUUUUAAAAUAUUCUGAGAAGGGAUCAGUAGGCCUCAUUAGACAGUCAAAGCUGUGUGUGGGGGGUCCAUGACAACAAAAAAAGAACUCUUGAUGUAGAACUAGUGACUCCAACUCCCACCCACCCACACAUAACUUGUUUGAGCAAAUUCUUGGUGAAAGUGGAAGUUGCUCAGUCGUGUCUGACUCUUUGCGACCGACCCCAUGGACUAUACAGUCCAUGGAAUUCUACAGGCCAGAAUACUGGAGCGGGUAGCUGUCCUCUUCUCCAGGGUUUCUUCCCAACCCAGGGAUUGAACCCAGGCCUACCACGUUGCAGGCAGAUUCUUUACCUGCUGAGCCACCAGGGAAGCCCAAGAAUACUGAAGUGGGUAGCCUGUCCCUUUUGCAGUGGAUCUUCCCAACCUGGGAAUGGAACCGGGGUCUCCUGCAUUGCAGGCCAAUUCUUUACCAACUGAGCUACCACGGAAGCCCAAGUUCUUGGUCAUUGUGGCUAAAUAAAAAACACUUGUUUGAUGCAGGAUUGGCCUCUCACUUGGUGGAUAUCCACUGUUUUGUUUUCCCCUUCUAGACUUGUUCAGUUUUUAUCAAAUUACUUCCAUGCUUGUUAAUACCCUCCCCACGGGUGUGAGAUUGUAAGGAUGGGAAAAUUAGCCAGUUAAAGACCUGGGAGAGUUCUGGGAAAGGUUCAGUGAAGUAAAAGAUAAAAUUAAUAUCUAAAAUUUCUUGAAAUCAUCACAUCAGAAUUAUUCCUCUGAUCACCAUAUCUACCUCUAAAACUGGUUCUUUUGUUCUGUCUAAACUUUAGUCUAAAUUUCUUUACUAAACCUGAUUUUCAGACUUCCUUGGUAUGGUCCAUUGGUUAAGACUCAGCACAUCCAGUAUACGGGGUGCGGUUCCAUCCCUGGUCUGGGAACUAAGAUCUCACGUGCUAUGUGGCGGUGCAGCAAAGUAAAAAAACAACUUGAUUUUCCAGAUCUUUACAGUAGCCAAAUAGCAACAUAGUGUCAUUCUCUAGUGAAAAUCCUCUGGAUCUCAAACCAGUUCAAAGAUAUUUCUGCAGUUGUUUAAGUCCAAAGGAUUGUGAAUAAAAAUUUCCUGUUACUGAACUUGUGAAAUAUGAAUUGUGUUUUAAAUGUGAAAUUGUGAGAAGAGGAAAUAGAUUGAUGUUUUGAUGGCAAAAGAAGUUUAGAUCAUUAAAUUUUAGGUGUCUUGUAUUCAAAAUAAAAUGAAGGUCACUAAUCUAAGGAACAAAUAAGGGCAGAGAAGCUUUCGGAGAAUGAUAGUUACACAACAGUCUUGUGUACCAAGUUAAUAGAAAAUCAGGAGAUGCCCCAAGUUUAGUCCUGUGUCUGGUUCUCUUUCAGAAAGGCUGAAGAGUUAUCAUGAAUAAAAAAUAUAGUCAAACUGGUACAUUAUGGUUCUGUUUUUGUGGUGAAAAAUGCCAUUAGUAAAAUAGAGCUUUAUAAGUACUAACAGUUUUAGGUUAAAGGAGUUACAGUGUCUUUAACACUGAAGUUCAUAGAUGGUUCUACCUUUCAGUCAACUAUUGAAUGCAGUACUAGGAGGACUGGUGACUCUUGAGACUCAGGAAUUUAAAUUGAGAAUUGAGGGUAGCCUCCUGUUGGAUUCUGGUAAUUUCGGAGGACAGUGGUAGUAGGAAGUGCCUUUCUUAACUGUUGUAAAUGAAUUGUUAAUCCCAAUGCACACUCACACCAAAAAACAAAACAUGGAAAGAAAAGGCAACAUGGCAUGAUUACGAUGAGAAGCAAGAAGGAAGAUACAGGAAAAGAUGCACUAGAAUUGCCUGUAGGUAAUUUUUUUGGCCCAUGGUAAUUUGGGUGCUAUUGAAGGAUAGGAUAGCAAGUGUCUUGUAAUUUCAUGGCUGCAGUCACCAUCUGCAGUGAUUCUGGAGCUCAAAAAAAUAGUCUGUACUGUUUCCAUUGUUUCCCCAUCUAUUUGCCAUGAAGUGCGGGGACCGGAUGCCAUGAUCUUAGUUUUCUGAAUGUUGAGUUUUAAGCCAGCUUUUUCACUCUCCUCUUUCACUUUCAUCAGGAGGCUCUUUAGUUCUUUUUCACUUUCUGACAUAAGGGUGGUGUCAUCUGCAUAUCUGAGGCUAUUGAUAUUUCUCCCAGCAUUCUUGAUUCCAGCUUGUGCUUCAUCCAGCCCGGCAUUUUGCAUGAUGUACUCUGCAUAUAAGUUAAAUAAGCAGGGUGACAAUAUACAGACUUGAUGUACUCCUUUCCAAAUUUGGAGCCAGUCCAUUGUUCCAUGUCUGGUUCUAACUGUUGCUUCUUGACCUACAUACAGAUUUCUCAAGAGGCAGGCAGGUGGUCUGGUAGUCCCAUCUCUUUAAGAAUUUUCCAGUUUGCUGUGAUCCACACAGGCAAAGGCUUUGCAUAGUCAAUAAAGCAGAAGUAGCUGUUUUUCUGAAACUGUCUUGCUUUUUCGAUGAUCCAACGGAUGUUGACAAUUUGACAAUUUGAUCUCUGGUUCCUCUGCCUUUUCUAAAUUCAGCUUGAACAUCUGGAAGUUCACGGUUCACGUGCUGUUGAAGCCUGGCUUGGAGAAUUUUGAGCAUUACUUUGCUAGUGUGAGAGAUGAGUGCAAUUGUGUGGUAGUUUGAACAUUCUUUGGGAUUGCCUUUCUUCAGGAUUGGAAUGGAAACUGACCUUUUCCAGUCCUGUGGCCACUGCUGAGUUUUCCAAAUUUGCUGACUUAUUGAGUGCAGCACUUUCUCAGCAUCAUCUUUUAGGAUUUGAAAUAGCUCAACUGGAAUUCCAGCACCUCCUCUAGCUUUGUUCCUAGGGAUGCUUCCUAAGGCCCACUUUACUUAUUAUUUGGCUUCUUUGUGUCAAAGAUGAGUAGAUGCUUCCUGGUGAGUUUAUACUUUCAGUACAGGGAGUAUUUUUUUUAUUCCUUGCUUUGUUUUUCUCAUCUGCCACGUCAGGUGUGCCCUAGCCUUUUAAAACCUCUGAUACAGCUUUUUAUUCUUUAAUUCAGCAAAUGUUACUGAGUAUUUCCUGCUUGUAAGGCAUUGUGCUGGAUGCUGACAAUACAUAGUUGUGAACAAGACAUAAAAUGGCUCUUCCUGUUACAUUAGGACUCUCUAAAGGAAUUGAACUGAUGAGUCUUAUAUACAGGCAUAUCUCAAAGUUAUUCCAGGUUCAGUUCCAGAACACCACAGUAAAGCAAAGUCACACAAAUUUUUUGGCAAGUAUGUGUAUUAAUUUUGAAAUACCUUAUUGCUGAAAAGUGCUAGCCCAUCAUCUGAGCUUUGAGCAAGAGGUAAUUUUUUGCAAUAAUAGCAUCAAAAAUGAAGAUCCUAGAUCACCACAACAAUAUAAUAAUAACGAAAAUAUCAAAAAUAAUGAAAAUGUGAUGGACACAAAGUGAGCAUGUACUGUUGGAGAAGUGGCGCCAGUAGACUUGCUCCAGACAGGGUUGCCACAAACCUUCAGUUUGUUUAAAAAAAAGUGAUACCUGCAGAGAGCAAUAAAGAAAGAUAUGCUUGUAUUAUAGAUAGAGUUUUGUUAUGAGGGAUUGGCUUACACGAUCAUGAAGGCCAAGAGAUCCCAUGACCUGUGGUCCAUGUAAGCUGGAGGCCCAGGAAAACCAGUAGUGCAUUUCUGCUUCAAGCCUAAAGGCCUGGAAGCCAAGGGAACCAGAGAUUUAAGUCCCAGGUUGAGUCCUAAGAUCUGAAAACCAGGAGCACGGAUGUCUGAGAGGAGGAGAAGGUUGAUUAUUUCAGUGCUAGCAGAGAGGGAAUUUUCUCUUCCUCUGCCUUUUUGUUCUAUUCAGGUCCUCCACGCAAGGGAGAGUGAUCUUCUUUUCUUAGCCUGUCAUUCUGAUGCUAAUCUCUUCUGGAGACACCUUCACAGACACCCCAAAAUAACGUUUUACAAACUUUUCCAGAAUCCCUUAGCCCAGUAAGGUUGACACAUAAAAUUAACCAUCACACUAAUCAAGCCAUAAGAGAAGGCCUAUGUUAAACAAAUGUUACCUUUUCUGUUACUAUUGUUCUAGUCAUAGGGAUGGAACAUUUAGGUGCUUUAAUCUGAACUGAGUAUAUUUAUGAUGAUUACACUGAUUUACUAUUCUUGGAAGUCGUUGGGUCUCACAGCAAUAUUUAAAAUAUUUCAUUCUUUUUUAAGAUACUUUUAUUUUUGUAGAUAUUUAUUAGGGAAAAGAAAGAAACCCUUAGCUCCAAAUCUUCUAAUUGGUCUUCAUGUCAUUGUCAUUCCUCUUACUCCCUAGUUUCCAUAUUGCAUACUGAUUGAUACCAAGGCCAGCUUUUAAUAUUGACUUAAUUAUAUUAGGUCCUAGACAUACCCUACUGAUAUUUUCCCAGUUAUCUAUAAAACUUAAAGCACUUUAGCCUGGCAUUCAAGAGUCUAUAUAAUAUAGCCCCAAACUAUCAGUCACUUUGAUUCUCCCCUUUUUAUGAACCUGUGUCUAUUCUUGCCCGCUGCCUAAGACAUCCUUUCCUACCUUCCCUAUUGAAAUAUUAUCCCUCCUUCAGGAUCUGAUUGGUAAUAGACCAUUUUCACUACGUUUCUUUCUUUAGACAGAUGCAGUUCAACCCAUUGAUUUUUUUUUUUUUUGCUUUUCUGAAUUCUGUUAGCAUUUUUUGGUCAGCCCCAGUGACUUGUACAUGUGUCAUCUUAAGUUUGUGCUUUUUACAUGUGUCGUAAUUUUUUAGCUAGAAUUACUUUGGGUAGGGGUUUAGAAGAACAAGAUGAGAUCAGAGAUGGACCGUGCCUUCUGUUAGAAUUUUCUUCAGACCUUAAGGGACCUUUUCUAAUGCUGUCAGUAAGUAAUGAUGAUUUUUUUGAAUUGCAAACUCAUUCUUUGGCCUGUUUCCUUGAUUGAUCAGGCAACACUGAGUCUAAAGACAUUUGAAACAGGAAACGAGAACUUGUACUUUUGUUUUUACUUUCAUCCAUUAAAUUAUUUGAUUUUUCUGCAUGUUUUGAAACUACGUAAGGUCCAAAUCAAACCAAUUUUUUUUUUUACUCAUAAAUUAUCAGAGUUACCUACAGUGUGCACAUUACCAUAGUGUGAAGUGAAAGUGAAGGUGUCAUUCGCUCAGUGCCCGACUCUUUGCUACCCCAUGGACUGUAGCCCUCCGGGCUCCUCUCUCCAUGGAAUUUCCUAGGCAAGAAUAAUACUAAAGUGGGUAGCCAUUCCCUUCUCCAGGGGAUCUUCCCCACCCAGGGAUCAAACCCAUUUCUCCCGCAUUGCAGGCAGAUUCUUCUCCCUCUGAGCCACUAGGGAAGCCUCUUAGCACAGUGUAUGUACUUAGUAGCAACACAUUGUUACGUACAUUAUAAAAAAUGUCUAAAGAUAUGACCUUCAGUUUCUGGUUGAAGGCAGAAACAGGAGUGAGGCUUUCACUUUGGUGUGUUUCAGGUAGUCUACAAACUUAAGUGACCUCAGAGAAUCAGGUUUGUGCUUGCUCAUUAGCCAGGUUCUGUGAAGACUUAUAAAAAACAAACAGUAAGCCCUAUGUUACCAGGUGGAGAGUGAGUGAAGCACCAAAGUAACAGUACCUGAAUAUUUGUACUGUCAAGGGGUUAGAUCUUGGAUUUAAGCAGUGGUCAGUGGCUAUGGGAAUUCUGUGAAAUGAGAGAUCUGUGUGAGACAGGCUACUUAAGGAAGAUUUCUCUGACAGCUGGGUAUUAGUAUGUUGCGAUUGAAAAUGGAGAGUUAGAAGCUCUCAGAAUAAAAGGAAAACAUGGAGGUGAAGGUAGAAACUGAGUGAGUAUGAUUUGGGUAAGCAGAAGACUGUUCCUGGCUCCUAAUCUGUGUGUAAUAAGGUCUGGAUGGAUUGCACAGGUGGAAAACACAGAUGGGGAGGGUGUGAGGUCUUAGGUUUCCAGAAAUUAGUUAUAUGUUCCUUGCCCUCCAGGCUCCUCUGUCCAUGGGGAUUCUCCAGGCAACAAUACUGGAGUGAAUUGCCAGACCCUUCUCCAGGGGAUCUUCCCAAAUCAGGGAUUGAACCCAGGUCUCCUGCAUUGCAGGUGAAUUCUUUACCAUGCGAGCCACCAGGGAAGCCCUGAGAUCAGAAGGGAAUAUGAAAGAUAGAAACACCUGUCACUUAGAUUUAAGGAGUAAAAAUACCAGUUUCUAAGCAGAAAGGCCUAAGUACUUUAGAAAUGCAUUGUUGCACUUUGGGGAAAAAUGCCUUUGAAACAUUUAUGUUUUAACUAUUUGUUAUUGAAUGUCUUCUUGACAUUGAGAAUAGGGGAUAUGUCUUAAAGUUGUGUGUGUGUGUGUAUGUGCGUGCGCGCAUGUUCAGUUGGGUCCAAUUCUUUGCUACCCUAUGGAGUGGGGCCCGCCAGGCUUCUCUGUCCAUGGGAUUUUCCCAGCAAGAAUACUGGAGUGGGUUGCCAUUUUCUUCUCAGGGGAUCAAACCUAAGUCUCCUGCGUCUCUAUUGCACGUAGAUGCUUUACUGCUGAACCAGCAGGGCUUAAAUUCAUACACUUAAAGCAAUAAGAAGAAAAAUGCCUGAUGACUUGAUUUUUUUUUUUUUUUAAGUAUGUUUCUAAAUUCAUCUGAUUUUUCCUUGUUUCUAAUUAUUCUGAGAGCAUUCUGUUAAAGGCCUGCUUUGCAUAUGACUUCUCAAAAAGUGCUUUUUGAAAUUAGGUGAUUACUUGGCAGUGUGACGUAUGAAUUUGUGCCUUUGACUUGUCAGAUUUGUAGUUUGGGUUGGAUGCUUGUAAAAUUGACUUUAUUGUAAUUUUGUUAAGGAGCUAUUGGUACAAAUUUGUUGAUGUACUCGUGAGAUGUAGUCUUAUGAGAGUUAGAUUUGUGCUUUCUCUUUUGCCUUUGACUUUUAGUGACUUCCCCUCACUUCCUUAGCAUUUUCUGUACUUUGUAUUCUUGAUUAGAGUCAUUUCUUUUUCUUUAAAACCUAGCUAAAUUAGAUUUAUGUUAAAAAUCUGCCAUAAUUCUUAGUAUUGGAUAUUUAUAAUAGUAAGAAUUGGUUUUGAAGUUCCUGAUAGCUUCCCAGCACAAAUUUACCUCUGCAGUUAAGUACGGAAAGGAGAAAAAAGAAGGAAAACAAGAGGAAUCAGGAAAGGAGAACAUAACCCUAUUUCAUUUUGUUCAUCACUUAUCUUUCAGUAUUAUUAUUUGUUUUGUUUUACCCAUCUCUUCCCACGUCCACCCCUAUCCCUCAACCCCCCAAAACCCACCACUGUGACCUUUUUUGUGUGUGAGAGAGCUUUUCUUCAAAGUAAAUGUUGGAAUGAAUGUGAAGGGUAUUGAAUUCCUGUAUGGAAAAUAAAGGAUUGAGAAGAGAAUUUUACAGACGCUUUGAACACGGUUUUAGAUACAAUCUCAGCCAUUAGCAGAUUGGCACUUCUGUUGCUUUUCUUAGGCUAGUGGGCACAAUCUCUGUAAGGUUAAAAAAAAAAACCCUCUUUCUCCACCAGGCUAUCUUUUUCAGCAAAGACAUGUGAAAAUGAAUUCCUCUUUGUGUGUUUGGUAGUUAUUCAUGGUUCCUGUUUGCAAAGUAGUCCUCAGGAACAGGUGAAACAAAAGUGUAGGAAACAAUGUGCGCUUUUUAAGUCUAGUCCCUUUCUGAUCUUUUACAUAAAAUUCUAGGGAUAGUAUUUGUUGGACCUCGAUAUGGGACCACACUUAAGUAGGACAGCAAGGAGAUCAAACCAGUCAGUGCUAAUCCUAAAUCAAACCGUCUAGUCAAAGCUAUGGUUUUUCCAGUAGUCAUGUAUGGAUGUGAGAGUUGGACUAUAAAGAAAGCUGAGCGCUGAAGAAUUGAUGCUUUUCAACUGUGGUGUUGGAGAAGACUCUUGAGUCCCUUCGACAGCAAGGAGAUCCAACCAGUCCAUCCUAAAGGAGAUCAGUCCUGAGUGUUCUUCGGAAGGACUGAUGUUGAAGCUGAAACUCCAGUACUUUGGCCACCUGAUGCAAAGAGCUGACUUGUUUGAAAAGACCCUGAUGCUGGGAAAGAUUGAAGGCAGGAGGAGAAGGGGACGACGGAGGAUGAGAUGGUUGAAUGGCAUGAGUUUGAGCAAGCUCUGAGAGAUGGUGAAGGACAGGGAAGCCUGGCAUGCUGCAGGCCGUUCACAAAGAGUUGGACAUGAUUGAGAAACUGAAUGACAACAAAAACACUAAAUGUUUAAAACAGAUUUUUUAAAGCAUUUUUUCCCUGUUUUGAAUUUUUUUUCAAAUAUAUGUUUAUUUAUUUUUAUUUGGCUGCACCAGGUCUUAGUUGCAACAUGCAGGAUCUUUAGUUGAGGCAUAUGGAAAUCUAGUUCCCUGCUGAGGGAUCGAACCCAGGUCCCCUGCAUUGGGAACCCAGACAGAGUCCUAGCCACUGGACCACCAGGGAAGUCCUGAAUAUUUUUAAAACACGUAAACUUUUCAAAUGGUAAAUCCAGAUAUAGUUUCUUAUUAGAGUUAUUAAAGACAUCACUUCAGUCAGCUUUAAAAUAGCUUCCUCUUUUGUUUUGUUUACAUUUUAAAUAAAAGCCAGUUCUUUUCCAAGCUGGGAUUUUGUUUGUUUGUUUUUUUGCUGCACUAUGCAGCAUGUGGGAUCUUUAGUUCCCUGACCAGGGAUCAAACCCAUGCCCCCUGUAAUAGAAGCAAGGAGUCCCAACCAACCAUGGACUGCCAGGGAAUUCCCUCAAGCAAAUUUCAUAAUUUAGCUAAGUUUAAAAUACAAAUGAUAGUGCAUAUUUUUCAGAAACUACCCUUAUCUGACCUAGAGACAUAGACACUUGCAAUCACUUACUGCAGUGAUUCCUAAUCCUUAGAGUCUCUGAAACUAGCAGUUGAUAUUCCUAGAGUUAUUGGGGAUAAAUGUAUAUACACAGAAAUAUAGCAGUGGAUAAUUAAAGCAUGAUCCUUCUAAUAAAAAGUGAAUGUCAUCCUUGUGGUAAUGGGAGUAUUUUCUGUAAUCUGGAACUAAGCAAGAAUGUGACUCCUUAUAAAUAGAACUUGGUGGGAAGUGGAACAGGAGUUAUAAUAAAAUGGAUAUUUACUCUCUGAAACAUUUUGGGAUGACUGAUAAAAAUCUCCUUCAUUUUUUCAAUUAAAAAGUAAGACCAGGUGAGGUUUAGAAACUUGCCCGAGGAAUUAAUUACAGGAUUUAAUGGUGCAUGGAUAGAGAAUUCCGCUGCUGUGCUUAAGAAGCAUUUUAAGGUUGCCACACAAGUACUAACUUAAUGGGACAGUCGGUUGCUUGACAGAAACAAAUCCCUUUAUACAUUAUUUUGUGUUGGGCAAUGUAGUCAGUAAGUGGGGUCAUCAGCUAAAUAGAGGAAAACAACCUUAAAUAAAAACCUAGAGGGAAACUAUCUUACAUUUUUAAAAUUUGGUGAUGUUAAGUGAUAAUCAGCUUUUUA